rnacentral:rRNA from 1 species
GAGUUUGAUCCUGGCUCAGAUUGAACGCUGGCGGCAUGCCUUACACAUGCAAGUCGAACGGCAGCACGGGAGCUUGCUCCUGGUGGCGAGUGGCGAACGGGUGAGUAAUGCAUCGGAACGUAUCCUGGAGUGGGGGAUAACGUAGCGAAAGUUACGCUAAUACCGCAUAUUCUGUGAGCAGGAAAGCGGGGGACCUUCGGGCCUCGCGCUCUUGGAGCGGCCGAUGUCGGAUUAGCUAGUUGGUGAGGUAAAGGCUCACCAAGGCGACGAUCCGUAGCAGGUCUGAGAGGAUGAUCUGCCACACUGGAACUGAGACACGGUCCAGACUCCUACGGGAGGCAGCAGUGGGGAAUUUUGGACAAUGGGGGCAACCCUGAUCCAGCCAUGCCGCGUGAGUGAAGAAGGCCUGGUGUAA